AUUGAACGCUGGCGGCAUGCCUUACACAUGCAAGUCGAACGGCAGCACGGGGCAACCUGGUGGCGAGUGGCGAACGGGUGAGUAAUGCAUCGGAACGUACCUUUCAGUGGGGGAUAACGUAGCGAAAGUUACGCUAAUACCGCAUAUUCUGUGAGCAGGAAAGCAGGGGAUCGCAAGACCUUGUGCGGAUUGAGCGGCCGAUGUCAGAUUAGCUAGUUGGUGAGGUAAAGGCUCACCAAGGCGACGAUCUGUAGCGGGUCUGAGAGGAUGAUCCGCCACACUGGAACUGAGACACGGUCCAGACUCCUACGGGAGGCAGCAGUGGGGAAUUUUGGACAAUGGGGGCAACCCUGAUCCAGCCAUGCCGCGUGAGUGAAGAAGGCCUUCGGGUUGUAAAGCUCAUUCGGCCGGGAAGAAAUCGCACGGGCUAAUACCCUGUGUGGAUGACGGUACCGGAAUAAGAAGCACCGGCUAACUACGUGCCAGCAGCCGCGGUAACAC
rnacentral:rRNA from 1 species